UCCCGCAGCCCACGGCGCAACGAGAUGUAUCUUGGGGAAGCCGCGUCCAGCUGAGGGCUGUAGAGCUCAGCCUUCGCUGCAUUUGAGUAAGCAGUACCGCAGUCUCCCGCACCGCGGCGGCUUGCAGUCGGAGAAAUAAGGGCCCUUCCGGGCCUCCGUAGCCGCCUUUCUGUGGUGGGCGUGGCCGAGAUCGCGGUGACCCUGCCGGAGCCACCGUUGCCAGCGACAUGUUCAAGAGACUGGGUUUUGUUCUUGCUUUGGCAGGUCUCAAACUCCUGGCCUCAAGUGAUCCACUUGACUCAGCCUCCUAAAGUGUUGGGAUUACAGCGCUUCUAAUAUGCGAAUAGCCUUCCAGUUCCAACUAACACUGGGAGAGAAGGAAGAAGUACUUCAGAGGUCCGUGGGGCCGGCCAGCCUGAGCCUGCUCACCUUCAAAGUCUAUGCAGCACCGAAAAAGGACUCAACCCUCACAAAUACAAUGAAGGUUAAUGAGCUUUCACUCUACUCAGUUCCCGAGGGUCAAUCCAAGUAUGUGGAGGAGCCACGGACCCAACUUGAGGAAAGCAUCUCACAACUGCGAAAUCACUGCGAGCCAUAUACAAGUUGGUGUCAGGAAACAUACUCCCAAACUAAGCCCAAGAUGCAAAGUUUGGUUCAAUUGGGGUUAGACAGCUAUGAAUAUCUCCAACAUGCCCCUCCUGGGUUUUUCCCAAGACUUGGUGUUAUCGGUUUCGCUGGCCUUGUUGGACUCCUUUUGGCUAGAGGUUCAAAAGUAAAGAAGCUGGUGUAUCCACCUGGUUUCAUGGGAUUAGCUGCCUCUAUCUAUUAUCCACAACAAGCCAUCGCAUUUGUCCAGGUCAGUGGGGAGAAAUUAUAUGACUGGGGUUUGCGAGGAUACAUAGUCGUAGAAGAUUUGUGGAAGGGGAACUUUCAAAAGGUCAGAAAUCCAAUAAUAAACCAAGGUGCCAGCAGGAUUGCAUUCCUUUCUGGAGGCCCUAGGGGAGAAUUCCUUUCCUGCUCAUUUAAGCUGUUGACAGAAUUCAGUUCCUUGAGACUGUAGGACCCAGCCAGGAAAUGUGAAGAAUUCACCUGGAAAUAAGUAGAAAACUCCAUGCUCUGCCCAUUUUAAUCAGAUAUAGGUAAACAUUGGAAACUCCAUACAGUAAAUCAAUUAUUUCUACAGACAAAUGGCAGAGAAGUCAGUAUUGAAUGUAUUAAACUGGCAUUCUUCAUCAGGAAAAACUAUACUAGGCCUCUUUUAUCUUGGGUGAUAUUAUCCUACAAGCAAACAAGCAAACUAAUCUGAAAUCCUGUCACCUAGAGAUAAUGUAUAAGCCUUAGAAUUCUUCAUGCUCAUGUUGCUAUUUAUGUACAUAAUUAAAAUCCAAGUU